GGAGCAAGGCGCCGAAGGGGAGCACCGAGCCACCUGUUAGGGACCGAGGGCGCGGCUAAAAGGGGGGUCCGGAGGUCCGAGCUGGAGACGGCGGAGUUCCACCCCUGGCGGAGGUCCUCAUCACUACUUGCUGGUUUGUGAACACCGAUGAUGCUCUUGGUUACUAAAUAGUUGCCUCACUGAGUUGGAGGUCCAUUAACUCUCUCUGGCAAUAUCAGAGAUGCCACAGAUAAAGCUGGAGGAACAUACCUCAGAUGUGUCUGCAGUGAUGCCGUGAAGCAUACAGAAGUCCCUGGCUAAAUUGCUCUUUAUCUUUAUUGCUUUAUAUACUUCUUUAUCUGCUUGUCAAGACAUUGUAUUUUUCCCUGAUAAAGUGAAGAACAACAGGCAUUGAACAAAAUCAAAGUGGUUGAUGAUUGAUAAUAUCAGUUAACUUUCUGGAGACUCCAGUAAUUGGUCAUAGUCAAGCUGAGCAGUGAGGAGGUAUGGACAAUUUGAACUAAGACAAGCUGACAUUAAGAAGCUGUAAUAAAGUUCAUGUGAAGUUAUCCAGUCCCA